AACUUUGCCGCCGAAUUUGGUAUUGGCAUGAUAUCUUCAAGCCAAUAAAAGGGAAUACGGUGAAAUUCCGUAACAGUACCCGCUGCUGUAAGCUCACUUUCUGUUUAUAACAGAGAUAAUGUUUGAACAAUACUUUGCCACUGGGAAACCGGGAAGGCAGUUCAAAACAGAGUAAGUCAGAAGACCUGCCAAAUAAUAUCAACUUAU
rnacentral:ncRNA from 2 species